rnacentral:rRNA from 1 species
AGAGUACGAGAUGCUACGGCAUUGAAGCAGUCUAUGUCAUACUUCCAAGAAAAGCUUGCACUGUCAUAAACAAAGAAUGCCUGUACCAUAACCGACACAGGUGGGUAGGUAGAGUAUACUAAGGGGCGCGGGAUAACUCUCUCUAAGGAACUCGGCAAAAUGACUCCGUAACUUCGGGAGAAGGAGUGCCUUAUUUUUAAGGUUGCAAUAACAAGAUCCAAGCAACUGUUUAUCAAAAACACAGGUCUCCGCUAAGUCGUAAGACGAUGUAUGGGGGCUGACGCCUGCCCAGUGCCAGAAGGUUAAAGAAGUUGGUUAGCAUUCGCGAAGCUGAUAACUGAAGCCCUGGUGAACGGCGGCCGUAACGAUAACGGUCCUAAGGUAGCGAAAUUCCUUGUCGGGUAAGUUCCGACCCGCACGAAAGGCGAAUGAUUUGGAUACUGUCUCGGAGAGGGACUCGGUGAAAUAGACUUGUCUGUGAAGAUGCGGACUACCUGCACCUGGACAGAAAGACCCUAUGAAGCUUUACUGUAACUUGAAAUUGAAAUUGGACUUUAGUUGCGCAGGAUAGGUGGGGGGCGUUGAGAAUAUUCUUGCGGGAGUAUUGGAGCCAUCAGUGAGAUACCACUCUUCUAAUGUUAGAUUUCUAACUUUGUAUCAUUAUCUGGUCAAAGAACAGUUUCAGGCGGGCAGUUUGACUGGGGCGGUCGCCUCCUAAAGGGUAACGGAGGCGCACAAAGGUUUCCUCUGAACGAGUAGAAAUCGUAUCUAGAGUGUAAAGGCAUAAGGAAGCUUGACUGUGAGACCUACAAGUCGAGCAGGGACGAAGGUCGGUCUUAGUGAUCUGACGGUGCUGAGUGGAAAGGCCGUCACUCAACGGAUAAAAGUUACUCUAGGAUAACAGGCUGAUCUCCCCCAAGAGUUCACAUCGACGGGGAGGUUUGGCACCUCGAUGUCGGCUCAUCGCAUCCUGGGGCGGUAGUACGUCCCAAGGGUUGGGCUGUUCGCCCAUGAAAGCGGUACGCGAGCUGGGUUCAGAACGUCGUGAGACAGUUCGGUCCAUAUCCGGUGUAGGCGUUAGAAUAUUGAGAGGAGCCUGCUCUAGUACGAGAGGACCGAGAAGGACAUACCUCUAGUGUACCAGUUAUCGUGCCAACGGUAAACGCUGGGUAGCUAUGUAUGGAGUGGAUAACCGCUGAAAGCAUCUAAGUGGGAAGCCCACCUCAAGAUAAGUAUUCU